rnacentral:lncRNA from 1 species
AUGCUCUAUGGUUUCAAGGGUGAUUUCUUUUUCGUGUCUUUUUUCAAUUUUUCACCCUUUCAUAAGAAACUCACUUUUCCAAGUUUCUAAUCACUUCUCAAUUUACUCUCCCCAACUUUAGAUUCCAAAAUCAAAAUUAUUCAAUAAUGCUCCCUACUUAGACAUAAGCAAAAGGCAAAAUUUUGCAAACAACUCGGUUUGAGGUUUCAACUGAUACGAAAGGAAUUAGGAUUCAUUUAUUCCAAAAUUUUCAAUUGAUUUUACAAUGAUCAAUCAAAUGAAUCCUAAAAUAAGCUCAAAGGGGUUUAACUAAGGAUUAUUCCUCACAAGGUUAGUU